UGCAAGUCGAGCGAACUGAUUAGAAGCUUGCUUCUAUGACGUUAGCGGCGGACGGGUGAGGGCACGUGGGCAACCUGCCUGUAAGACUGGGAUAACUUCGGGAAACCGAAGCUAAUACCGGAUAGGAUCUUCUCCUUCAUGGGAGAUGAUUGAAAGAUGGUUUCGGCUAUCACUUACAGAUGGGCCCGCGGUGCAUUAGCUAGUUGGUGAGGUAACGGCUCACCAAGGCAACGAUGCAUAGCCGACCUGAGAGGGUGAUCGGCCACACUGGGACUGAGACACGGCCCAGACUCCUACGGGAGGCAGCAGUAGGGAAUCUUCCGCAAUGGACGAAAGUCUGACGGAGCAACGCCGCGUGAGUGAUGAAGGCUUUCGGGUCGUAAAACUCUGUUGUUAGGGAAGAACAAGUACAAGAGUAACUGCUUGUACCUUGACGGUACCUAACCAGAAAGCCACGGCUAACUACGUGCCAGCAGCCGCGGUAAUACGUAGGUGGCAAGCGUUAUCCGGAAUUAUUGGGCGUAAAGCGCGCGCAGGCGGUUUCUUAAGUCUGAUGUGAAAGCCCACGGCUCAACCGUGGAGGGUCAUUGGAAACUGGGGAACUUGAGUGCAGAAGAGAAAAGCGGAAUUCCACGUGUAGCGGUGAAAUGCGUAGAGAUGUGGAGGAACACCAGUG
rnacentral:rRNA from 1 species